UAGUCCAUCCUAAUUCCUGCUGGUUACAACUGUACCUGCCAGGUUUCGCUGGUGGACCAAAGUAUAUCAGAAAUCCUCUUUGGGCGCUGUGGUAUAUCUGUGCCAUGGGCUUGCAGCCAGCCAGGGGUCUCUGAACACAG